rnacentral:rRNA from 1 species
UACGUAGGGUGCGAGCGUUGUCCGGAAUUAUUGGGCGUAAAGGGCUCGUAGGCGGUCUGUUGCGUCGGGAGUGAAAACUCAGGGCUUAACCCUGAGCCUGCUUCCGAUACGGGCAGACUAGAGGUAUGCAGGGGGAGAACGGAAUUCCUGGUGUAGCGGUGAAAAUGCGCAGAUAUCAGGAGGAACACCGGUGGCGAAGGCGGUUCUCUGGGCAUUUACCUGACGCUGAGGAGCGAAAGUGUGGGAGGCGAACAGG